AAAUGACUUGAGUUCCUGUAUGUUACCACAAUCACAUGAAACAUACACCUUCACCUCUCUUUUUCCCAGUGAGUUCUUUAUUCCUGUCUGUGCCAUGUACUGAGAACCCAGCUGGCUGUAUGAACGGCGACAGUAUAUCCAGAGACAGUAUGUUGCAGUCCCUGAUGUUGCAGUCCAUGAUUGGAAGGAGAUACUCGCCCUGAGUUUGUCUACUUUAUUGUCCAGGGACAAUAAAUAUAUUGUCUAGCGAGCAAUAUACACGGAAGCGGUGGAUGGUAAGCACGCCUCCUGAGUUGGACUAAAAGUCCAUUCCUAAUACCUACGCCGGGUGGUGUCUUGAAGCAAGCUAUGGGCAACUGAAAGGGCCUUUUUAUUUUUCACUGGGAAACAGGAUGAAGAGUCAAGAACAACAUUCCAGACCAGAAAACAAGUGGCUUUAAGAUGACAGGCCAUCGGGUUAACGGGUGUCGGGCGAAAGAAAACAGUGAUUUAUUGUUUUCUCCAGACAACUGUUCAGCUCGGUUGAAUAGGCUUCAUGAUCAACUGUGCCAAUGUGAAAACUGUGAGGCCGCUGGAGUCUGAGCAGGAAGUCUCCAGAUGGUUUAGCACUUGUCAGAGCGACCCUGUGACCCCAGAUGCUGUCCAGAUACGGGUCAGUGACGGGGUGCAGGCCUCUGUCCGACUGAUUUACGGCCCAUCGUUAAAACCCUCAUUGGAAAGGAGAGGGCCGAACUCUAUACCCCACCUUGCAGAAUGAGCCGAAUGGGCAUGAAAUCACAGAAAGAUUGAAUUCUGGAGUUUAAGAUUUUAUUUUCGGAGUUCCGAAAUUCAGUCUUUUCUUCUGAGGUUGUGCUUGGUCUGUUUUUUAUGAUGUCACCAGUGGUAAACUCAACACAUUAUCCCGAGACAAGUAAUGUCCCGAGGGAUUCUAACUCAAUGUUGAAGGGCAGAGUUUCCAAAAGCUUCCAAAGAGAACAAGAAAACAUUGAUAUGAGUGUGAACAGCAAUUGCCAUGUACUAGCACAGCUCCUGGAAACAACUCAGUACAAACCAUUGACUAGUGGAGAUGGGAUUGACUUUAUGCAGACAUAAAACAUGUGUCACCUUUAUCCUGCAAAGUAUAACCAAAGCAGACUAUAUCCAGUUAUUGUUUAUCCAUCCAGACAUACUGCCGACUCUCCCAAUGAAAACACUCCACUGUGCAGUAAACUGACUAAAUCAAUUGGACUACAUAGCAGAAGUGACCAUUCCGUCUGUCAAGUGAACAAGUGCUGCUGUGUAGAUGCAUAAGGUGCAGUUUCAAGUCGAGUCAGACUCGUUUAAAGACAUGUAACAUAGUUCUGUUUUUCUUUCCUAAUUAACCACCGUGGUUUCAAAAGUCCCCGAGCGGCGAAUAACUGGGCUAAUAGAAAUAAAGUGUGUUUAAUGGCCAA
ensembl:lncRNA